AUGUCAUGGAAUUUCCAGCUAAUAAUAAACAGAAGGAAAGAAGAAAAUUUAGAGCGAGCGAUCCACACUGCAAGUGAAACCUGAAGCUACACAGCAAGACCGAGACGCCAGAUGUGGCGGCAAAACGUUUUCCGGGAAACUCCAGACUCUGACCUGAGCAUUUCCGAUGGGGAAGAUUUUGAUUCUAAUUUACCCAAUCACUGUGAUUCAAUAAGUCGGCCUUCGAAUAAAAAGGAAGAAUUGCAACUUCCAUCAAGGCUGGAGAGGCUUAGAGGUACCCUUGAAUGGGACUAUGAAGGAAAAACUAGCAACUUAUCUAACGAGAAGGAAACAAAUGUCUCUCUUGAAGACGAUGUUGAAAUGCCCGAAUUCCAUAAUGAGGGUCACUUCAUAUUCUCCCCGAAGAAGGCAUUUGCGUGCAACCCAGAUGAGGAAAUGAUCUCUGAUGACGAGGAAAACAGUGUGCUCUCAACAUUUUCUGCUACCUCUGGCACUAAAAAGUUCCACAAAGACAAUCUUCAGAGCCUUGGAAGUGGGAAGCAAGAUGGGUCACAGACAUGGUCCGCUGUGAGAAAAGAAGCUGAUGAACUGAUACAUUUGAACAAGAAUCCUCUGUGUUCAUCAUCCCAUUCUGCCCACGUCAUAGCUAACAAAUCUCUUAAAGGUGCUAGAUGCAAGGCUAAGCUAAAAUAUCCAUUCAGUUUCCAGUCACAUAAUGAAGGACGCUCUUGUCCUUCUAUCUCUAAGGAUGAAAAUGAUGUGUUAUUCAAGGGUCAUGAAGAACCCAAACGAUUAGACCCCAUCGAGCCUAGAUACAAAGAACAUUCAAUUGCCGAGGUUCUUGGAGAUUGCCAGGGAGAAUAUGAAAAUCAGUCAGAGAUUGUGCUUGCUGAAGUGGGAGCUCUUGUGCAUGGAUGCGUUGAGCGAUCCAUGGCAGAGCUUUUAGAUGGCCUUCAGGAUAGGGCUAGUCUGCUGAAAGGAGUUUCUAAAAUGUGUAGUAGAACAAGAAGUAAAAGGGGGCAGAUUGUUGCAAAGAGAAGUGUCUCUCCCCUGGGAGAUAGAACUGUUGAUAGUGAGGACUCCCCUGAAUCCAUGGGUAGUGGAUCAUCUAGUGAGGAUGAGCAGGCCAAAGAUCAAAAACUAAAGGUUACUACCCCAGAAAUGAAAGGGCAAACUAUGGCAGAUCGGUUUCAAGAAGCUGUAGGUGCCACCUUUCUAAAUAAUGAAGGGGCCAUUGUUGCAGUGCCUAAACCAUCAGGCAUUGGAUUAUUUGGGAAGUUGCAACAGCUCAUGCAGAGUGAAAAAGAAAGAGAUAUGGAUUUUUUGAAGAAGUUGCAGACUGGAUCUAAUGCAAAUGAUGAAACAAGCUACAUUGUUGUAAAAAUCCUGGCUAGAUACUUGGAUGCAAAGCUGACGGUUUGUCAAUGCUCUUUUGGCCAGAACAUGGAGUCAGGGAGCCCCCAAAUACUGGUAAAUGGAGGAAGGAAAAGAACUAUUAUUUUCAACCCAAGAGUUAGCAGCGAUGUUGACCUUGAAGUUGGGAACUUGAUUUGUAUUCAUCCCCCAUGGAAGGAGGUUCAAGUGGGAAAUGAUGAGAGCAUUCUUCUCUCCACAUAUUUUUCCCAAAUUGUAAUUUGACCAGCUCAGGCACAGGCAUGCAAGAAGUAGAGCCUCAAACUGUGUUUCACUCGGCAAAGGAGGAAGAUGGGUUUCUUGUGCGAAAGGAAGAAACUUACAUACAUACUUUAGAUAGUAUCUUUUUGUCUCUUUGGUUGACAAGACAUGAACGGUAGCGAUGCAAAAGUUUUACCUUCGAGUUUCAACUUACUUGGGGCCGGAACAGUAUGGACGAGUAGAUCUGAUAUGAAAUAUUUGAAGUAGCUCCUUUGAUGAAAAAUAUAUUUUAAAGAUUUGAUAUGAAAUAUUUUAAGGAGCUAUUUUGAUGGAAAA